AGAGUCUGCUAGAGGUGAGGAGUGUGCAGGUCAGCAUUUCCUUACCCUCAGUACAUGAGCUCUCUCCCUUUUCAGUUCUAGGGUUCUCUUGGCCCCAGCCCCACAGUUCCUGGUUGGUGCCCCUCCCACAGUGCCGUUAUUUAAAAUAGUGCUUACCCUUGGAGGUAAUGUUAACUGGAACAAGAUGCAGGACUGAGUGCUUCUCUAAGGAAAGAAGGAGGAAACAGCAGUGUUGACCUGCCCUGGAGUCCACCCUCACCUCAGCCCUGCUCCGCAUCCCUCGUGCUCCUGGGUCACCGCCAACCGCACCGAAACCCCAGGGCUCACUCACUCUUGUGCUUCUGGCUUAGGCUGCCUCAGACUUUCAAUGCAGUUGAAGAUGAACUUGAAUUCCUCAUGCUGCCUUCCAAGUGCUGAGAUUAUGGCAUGUGCAACCUGCAGCCAUCAGAGGGCCCCAUGCAUCUCAGGGUGCUAUGGACAUGGCCCAAUGUAUCUGCAGAGGACAUCAUGUCACAGUAUCAGAAGAUCAGGUACCCCACAUGUAUAGAGCGCUUUUCCACCCCCACCUCACUGAAACUCUUUAACAACCUUCCGCCUCAUCAGACUCUUGGGAAAGCCUGGCCUUGCAUGGGUCCUGAGCCUGCCUCUACCACCCAAUUAAGCUUUGAGGCCUACUAAGGCCUAAAUGCUACUACCAGGGGCAAGGAGUCCCUGACUCCACUGUAAAAUCGUCUUCCUGUGUGGUGCCAUGUAUCUUGGGCUACCUUACCAUCAUUCUUGUCAUCUACCACUGUAAUUACACAUUUACAGACUGCC
rnacentral:lncRNA from 1 species